rnacentral:rRNA from 1 species
GACGAACGCUGGCGGCGUGCCUAACACAUGCAAGUCGUACGGAGUUCACUUGGAAGCUUGCUUCCGAGUGAACUUAGUGGCGGACGGGUGAGUAACGCGUGAGCAACCUGCCUCACAGAGGGGGAUAACACACGGAAACGUGUGCUAAUACCGCAUAAUCCGAUGAAGCGGCAUCGCUUUAUCGGCAAAGGAGCAAUCCGCUGUGAGAUGGGCUCGCGUCCGAUUAGAUAGUUGGUGAGGUAACGGCUCACCAAGUCUACGAUCGGUAGCCGGACUGAGAGGUUGGACGGCACAUUGGGACUGAGACACGGCCCAAACUCCUACGGGAGGCAGCAGUGAGGGAUAUUGCACAAUGGGCGAAAGCCUGAUGCAGCGACGCCGCGUGAGGGAUGACGGUCUUCGGAUUGUAAAACCUCUGUCCUUGGUGAAGAAGAAAGUGACGGUAGCCAAGGAGAAGCCACGGCUAACUACGUGCAGCACGG